AGAUUAUGUUGAGAACUCCUAAGCAAUCCUUUGUAUAUCUCCCAUGCUUCAUAUAAGGAUUCACCAUCGUUUUAUUGGAAAUUAGCGAUCUUGUUUUUGAGUUU